UCAAAUUCAUAGAUCUUCUUGAAUAUAUCAUUUUCUUGACUACACAUGUAUUCAGUUUUACGAAUACGUAUGUAAGCAAUUUCUUUUGUGGAUAAACCGCAUAAUGUUUUUAUAAUGUUGCAUAAUAUUAAUGUUAUUAUUUAAACUUUUUAUCAUUAAUGCUCAAUACUAUUUUAGUAAGUCAGCUUAUAUUUUUUUUUAAGUAAAUAAUUUAAACAUUAAAACAUCAGAGUGUUUUUUGGGAGGAGGAAUUUCAAAGAUCCUAUAACCAUCUGGUAACUGAAAUUUUGUUUGAAUUAUUUUCUCUGCAAAAGACAUGUCGCUUGUCAGAGUAUAUUAAUUUUUAUUAUAUUUUUUUAAUUUGAUUUUACUAUUGUUAUAUUGUUUUCUGAUUGAUGUUCAAAUUUAUUUUAUGCGUAUUUAUUAUAAUAAAUAUUAAUACCAAUCUUU
rnacentral:misc_RNA from 1 species